UACAUAGGGUGCAAGCGUUGUCCGGAAUUAUUGGGCGUAAAGAGCUCGUAGGUUGUUUGUCGCGUCGAUUGUGAAAAUCUGAGGCUCAACCUCAGACCUGCAGUCGAUACGGGCAAACUAGAGUGUGGUAGGGGAGACUGGAAUUCCUGGUGUAGCGGUGGAAUGCGCAGAUAUCAGGAGGAACACCAAUGGCGAAGGCAGGUCUCUGGGCCAUAACUGACACUGAGGAGCGAAAGUGCGGGGAGCGAACAGGAUUAGAUACCCUGGUAGUCCGCACCGUAAACGGUGGGCACUAGUUGUGGGAACCUUCCACGGUUUCCGCGACGCAGCAAACGCAUUAAGUGCCCCGCCUGGGGAGUACGAUCGCAAGAUUAAAACUCAAAGGAAUUGACGGGGCCCCGCACAAGCAGCGGAGCAUGCGGCUUAAUUCGACGCAACGCGAAGAACCUUACCAAGGCUUGACAUAUAGCGAAAAGUGGCAGAGAUGUCAUGUCCGCAAGGGCGCUAUACAGGUGGUGCAUGGUUGUCGUCAGCUCGUGUCGUGAGAUGUUGGGUUAAGUCCCGCAACGAGCGCAACCCUCGUUCUGUGUUACCAGCAUUCAGUUGGGGACUCACAGGAGACUGCCGGGGUCAACUCGGAGGAAGGUGGGGAUGACGUCAAAUCAUCAUGCCCCUUAUGUCUUGGGCUGCACGCAUGCUACAAUGGCCGGUACAAAGUGCUGCGAGAUCGUAAGAUUGAGCGAAUCACAUAAAGCCGGUCUCAGUUCGGAUUGAGGUCUGCAACUCGACCUCAUGAAGUCGGAGUUGCUAGUAAUCGUAGAUCAGCAACGCUACGGUGAAUACGUUCCCGGGGCU
rnacentral:rRNA from 1 species